AGCCACCAGCGAGAUUCGAACUCGCGAACCGUGGUUUACGAGACCAGUGCUCUAACCUCUGAGUUAUGGUGGC